GUAGAAGACGAAUUUCCUCCAACUUGAAGCAUUUGUAUACCACGUAGGAGUUCCAUUGAUGUAGUCUCCUGGCUUCUUCUUGACCAGGAAAUUUUUUUUGCUGAGGAAGCCUUCCCCUCCGGUGCAUGUUGAAUUGCGCCCUUCUUGAAGAGGGUGUGGAUUUCCUUGUCCACGAGAUGUUCCGCCAGCGUGCGCAAUGGAGGUGAAGGGGCGACC